rnacentral:rRNA from 1 species
CCUACGGGUGGCUGCAGUGAGGAAUAUUGGUCAAUGGCCGGAAGUCUGAACCAGCCAAGCCGCGUGAAGGACGAAUGUGCCAAGCAUUGUAAACUUCUUUUGUCAAGGGAUAAAAUCAGGCUCGAGAGCCUGUUUGAGGGUACUUUAAGAAAAAGCAUCGGCUAACUCCGUGCCAGCAGCCGCGGUAAUACGGAGGAUGCGAGCGUUAUCCGGAUUUAUUGGGUUUAAAGGGUGCGUAGGAUGUGAGGUAAGUCAGCGGUGAAAUGUCCCCGCUCAACGGGGUGAAGUGCCAUUGUUACUGCCUUGCUGGAAUGCAGAUGACGUAGGAGGAAUGUGUGGUGUAGCGGUGAAAUGCAUAGAUAUCACACAGAACACCGAUUGCGAAGGCAUCUCACGAAUCCGCGAUUGACGCUGAUGCACGAAAGCGUGGGUAUCAAACAGGAUUAGAUACCCCUGUAGUC